UAGCCAGACUCCUACGGGAGGCAGCAGUGGGGAAUAUUGCACGAUGGGGGGAACCCUGAUGCAGCAACGCCGCGUGGGUGAAGAAGUACUUCGGUAUGUAAAGCCCUGUCAGCAGGGAAGAAAAUGACGGUACCUGACCAAGAAGCCCCGGCUAACUACGUGCCAGCAGCCGCGGUAAUACGUAGGGGGCAAGCGUUAUCCGGAUUUACUGGGUGUAAAGGGAGCGUAGACGGCGAUGCAAGCCAGAUGUGAAAGCCCGGGGCUCAACCCCGGGACUGCAUUUGGAACUGUGUGGCUGGAGUGUCGGAGAGGCAGGCGGAAUUCCUAGUGUAGCGGUGAAAUGCGUAGAUAUUAGGAGGAACACCAGUGGCGAAGGCGGCCUGCUGGACGAUGACUGACGUUGAGGCUCGAAAGCGUGGGGAGCAAACAGGAUUAGAUACCCGUGUA
rnacentral:rRNA from 1 species